GAUGAACGCUGGCGGCGUGCCUAAUACAUGCAAGUCGAGCGAACAGACGAGGAGCUUGCUCCUCUGACGUUAGCGGCGGACGGGUGAGUAACACGUGGAUAACCUACCUAUAAGACUGGGAUAACUUCGGGAAACCGGAGCUAAUACCGGAUAAUAUAUUGAACCGCAUGGUUUAAUAGUGAAAGACGGUUUUGCUGUCACUUAUAGAUGGUUCCGCGCCGCAUUAGCUAGUUGGUAAGGUAACGGCUUACCAAGGCAACGAUGCGUAGCCGACCUGAGAGGGUGAUCGGCCACACUGGAACUGAGACACGGUCCAGACUCCUACGGGAGGCAGCAGUAGGGAAUCUUCCGCAAUGGGCGAAAGCCUGACGGAGCAACGCCGCGUGAGUGAUGAAGGUCUUCGGAUCGUAAAACUCUGUUAUUAGGGAAGAACAAAUGUGUAAGUAACUAUGCACGUCUUGACGGUACCUAAUCAGAAAGCCACGGCUAACUACGUG
rnacentral:rRNA from 1 species